GGGUGGGCGUCACCGCAGCGACCAGCCGCUGUGCCGAAAUCCCGCGAGAACGACCCCCUAGGCGCUCCCUGCAGAUAUCGCGAGAAGAUGGGUUAGCCUCCAGACCGGCUCCCGCGAGCUCCCUUCUGGACUCGGUCUGCCGGGACGAUCUGCGGGCGUCCAAAUAUCGCGAGAUUUGGUACUCAUCGCCGACUUAGAACUUUUAUUUAUCUAUUUAUUUUUACUGAGGCUCCAGGCGCGUGGCGUUCCCCAAGAGCGGGAAAGGACAGUGUGAACCUUGCAAAGAUUGCUGUUCUUGUGCUGGCUUCGUCGUCUGGGAGCUUCAGGAGGGCGAGCUUUAAGAGGUCGUCUUAUUGGGUUUACCUAGUUUAUUGUAACAAAACCAGCAGGCCUUGCACAAACAAGGUAAACAAGGGGGGUUCGGUUAACUAACCCUGGAGUUUUAGCCUCGUGAAACGCCCUGAUGAAGAAGCGCACACCACGCAGCCUGUUACCCUCUCCAGCAUGAGCUAAAUGGAUGCUGCCUGUUGUCUGACACCUCCCCGCCAAGUUAACGAAGCCAGAGUGUCUUUUUGCACGUGUUACAAUGUUCCUGUACUACACAGCCACAAUUCCUAUAUGGGUCUCCUGAAGCUAAAUCCAAUGUCAGAAGCUGCAUUCCUUCCCGAAGGUGGAAGAAAUCAUGACUCCUCGACUUGACCAGGAUGGAUUCAAAGCUCACCAGAAUAAUCUCAUUUCCAUGUCUGCAUUCUUAACCGCAUCAGAAAAGACCCUUAUGAAACGUAAAAAAAAAAAAGUUUAUGGUUCCUGAAUUUAUAGAGACAAAUUUCUUUUUGUGGGAAUCAUUAUCCUGCCUGCUCUAGGAUCUUUUUUGAAUACACUGUGCCUGUCCUACAAAGCCAUCUCUAUUCUUUGCAGUCACCAAAAGUUAAUAUCCCUGGUCACAAUAAGAAAUGUUUGUUCAUACAAAUAUGAAAUGUAUCCACUUAAAAUUUACAUGCUGCAUAGGUUAAUAUUUUGACUGGUAGUUUAUUGUACCAUAUUAUUUUUGAUCCAUUGAUCCUAACUUAAGAUCCCCAUCUAUUAUAGGACAUGUUAAUUGUAUAUUGUCUUGAUUUCCCAGAGGUCUGUUGAUUUAAGAUGUCAAUCCUUACAGAGCUGACCUGUAACUACAGGUGACUUGAUAAACUCAAAAUAAGUUUGAUUUAAAUAAAAGAAAUCAA